UUGUUAUAAAUGCAGACUGUAAAAUAACAUGAAUAAUCUUAUUGAGUGCACCUGCCCCGUGUGUCUGCUGCUUUCUUCAUUUGGCGGGUGACCGGCGAGAAGAGCCCUCUGGCUACGUAAAGUAGCCCCUCGGGUGCCAGUUUGGCGUUGACGCGUGUUUAUUCCACAUCGAAGAUGCCGCUUUUGCUUUCCGUCUGAUCCUUCUGGCAACUUGUCCUUGAAGUAGGCAGAAUCGGACGCGGGACAUGUUUAUUUUAUUUUGCAAUUACAUAUAGAUCGGUGAUAUGAAUUGCGUUCCUCCAGUGUUCCUGCUAGCGUGGUUAGCGUGUUAAACUUGUUAAAGUGUUUUUAAUGGGGCUGCUCCACAAGCCUUCACAAGGGGUCAAUUUCAAGAAGUUACAUGUGAAGAGAAGUAAAGGCAGGGAUAGUAGGGAUAGUAACACAUUCAAAUUCCAGGUCGUAUGAGCUUCAAAACGACUUUUUCUUAACCUUGGAGAUUCCCAGUGCUAUACCACAACUUUAAAUGAGCUAGCACAUUGAAACAGAACUGACUAAAUGGAAAAUGAAUGGAGGACCAAGUCAAUUAGCCUGAGCUGAGACCUUUAGACGAGAACCCCGCCUUUUUCCUGGUCUGUCGCACAGGUUCCCGGGCACGUUUGGAAAUUCAACCAAUCAGGGUGCAGUCGGUCAUCAGUUUGAGCAGUGAUGGCUGUUGCUUGCUGUCCUGGUUUCAUCAGGACCCACGCUGAUCAAAUACAUUUCACCCUUAAUUAAAGUAUUCAAAUAGUCUUUGCAAUUCAAGUGGUUUAAAAGCAUAAAAGAAAGGUUCCUUAAAGUGUAUUAUUUACUGCAAGUUUAUGUGUAAUCUCAGGACCCGGUUUGGGAGUGCUGGUGUUUAGGAGCAUCUUGUCCCUUUCAGGGGAGUCACUGUUUUAGAUGGUAUAUGCCUAGAAACCCUCCGUGUGGCUGAUGAGCACUGGUAACCUGUGGCGUUCUGUCCACGGGUUUGGAAAAAAAUGUCCCCUGAGUUCAGUGGACCUCUAAAACAGCAAUAAUCUAAUGUAACGGGUGCUCAGUCCCUCAGAGAAUCAGAUGAAAUGUUAUGAAAAGUGGGAGGCCUGCAAGUGGGGCCGCUUGUGAGGUAAAACAAGUUAGGUUGUUUCCGAGGGCUCUGACUGACAGGGGACCUUCAAAAAUAGGAACAUAGGAUUUUUUUUGUGCUGGUGGAGCCCAAUGUGAGAUCUUUUCAUGGGGCCCAGAAUCCUUGGUAGCACAAUAAACAAGGCUUCAGUACUGCACCAAACGGUCACGAUAAUACUAAUACUAGUAACUUCAUAUAAGACGUAUAAGAUCAUGGUAUGCCUGGUGGUUCACAAUGAGAAGGGAAAGAAUAAAGCAAGUGUAAACUAAGUUACAGGUACUCACACAUAAGAGCAACAGUCGAAGAUAAAGUAAAUAAAAUUAACCAACAAAGACAUUAAAUUGUGUCUUUAAAACGCCUGUUUUUAAUGAAGGCAUAAACCACAGGGACGGAGGGUUCUGAGCGAUCACACUGUGGCCUUCAUCAGUGUUCAAAUUACGGCGGGGAUUGGAGGGGUCUGAUUAGACAGCAACCCUAGUGACGCCACUGAUGGGAAAUGUAAUAUUUACGAUUACAGCAUCUGCGUCCCGGGGCUGCCCGGCUCCCCCUGGGGACCCCCCACACCCCCUCCCACAGGAACCCCAGGACCAGAGGAAGUGACAUGUAUGAUUGAUGACGGCAUAAAUUGAAAGGAAAGAUAGAGAGAAUCCUUUUAUCAGGACUGAAGCAUGACUAGAUUAAAACGCAGUUGUACAUCCCCUCUGUAUAAUUCAGUAGUCCUCCCCAGUAUCACCCCUGUGCCAGACGGUCCGAUGAGAAUUCCACCACCCCCCAAUCCCCUCCACCCCCACCGUCACCGCAGAUCUUCGCUGAUGGCUCAUGGGUCCUGCCUAAAUCGUUCUCAAGUGCUGAGGUACAAGUGUCUGGGGCUUGCUCAGAUAUAGUAUCUGCAUUUCAGGCAGAUGAAUGUCUGCAAAAAAAAAAUUUGUCUAAAAAAAUAAAUUAAAAAUCUACAUUUUGAACAGAA